AUUGAACGCUGGCGGCAGGCCUAACACAUGCAAGUCGAGCGGAUGACGGCAGCUUGCCCCUGGAUUCAGCGGCGGACGGGUGAGUAAUGCCUAGGAAUCUGCCUGGUAGUGGGGGAUAACGUCCGGAAACGGGCGCUAAUACCGCAUACGUCCUGAGGGAGAAAGUGGGGGAUCUUCGGACCUCACGCUAUCAGAUGACCUUAGGUCGGAUUAGCUAGUUGGUGGGGUAAAGGCCUACCAAGGCGACGAUCCGUAACUGGUCUGAGAGGAUGAUCAGCCAGGCUGGAGAGGGUGAACGGUCCAGACGGCUAUGAGAUGCAGCAGUGACGAAUAUUGGACGAAGGGCGGAAGACUAUUCCACCAAGGCCGCAUGUGUGAUGAAGGUCUUCGGAGUGUAAAACGCAUUUAGUUGGAAGGAAGAGCAGUAUGAGAAUACCUGAAUAUUUUGACGGUACCAGCAGAAGAAGCACCGGCUAACUACGUG
rnacentral:rRNA from 1 species